rnacentral:rRNA from 1 species
GACAGAGGUGCCGAGCGUUAUGCGGAAUCACUGGGCUUAAAGCGUGUGUAGGCGGACCGUUAAGUGCCUUGUGAAAUCCCCCGGCUCAACCGGGGAACGGCUGGGCAUACUGGCGGUCUUGAGCCACCUAGGGGCGAGCGGAACAAGCGGUGGAGCGGUGAAAUGCGUAGAUAUCGCUUGGAACGCCGACGGUGAAAACAGCUCGCUGGGGGUGUGCUGACGCUGAGACACGAAAGCCAGGGGAGCGAACGGG